AAAAAGUGUUGGUCUUUUUGCUCUUUUGUAAUUAAAUCCGGAUGUACCUCAAAAGACUUAAGACUGUGGUGAUAAGAUGCUUUCCUC
ensembl:misc_RNA